AUCNANNCANCUCAGGCACANAAACNNUNNNAAGUAGAAGGAUACUAUUCAGGCUUUGUGAAGAAGUNCAGACGCGNGACNGGUUAGUUAAUCUUUGGAAUCUNCCUUGUNNUGGGAGUAACCUCGGGGAAACCUGAAUUAAUUCCGCAUCCGCCCUUCGGGAGAAAGGGGGCAACUUUGUGCCUUNGCUUUUAGAUGACCCUAAGUCGGAUUAGCUAAAUGGUGGGGUAAAGGCCUUCCCAUGGCNGAGGAUCUGUAGCUGGUCUGAGAGGAUGAUCAGCCCCACCGGGACUGAGACACGGCCCGGACUCCUACGGGAGGCAGCAGUGGGGAAUAUUGGACAAUGGGGGAAACCCUGAUCCAGCCAUGCCGCGUGUGUGAAGAAGGCCUUUUGGUUGUAAAGCACUUUAAGCAGUGAAGAAGACUCUUCGGUUAAUACCCGGAGACGAUGACAUUAGCUGCAGAAUAAGCACCGGCUAACUCUGUGCCAGCAGCCGCGGUAAUACAGAGGGUGCAAGCGUUAAUCGGAAUUACUGGGCGUAAAGCGAGCGUAGGUGGCUUGAUAAGUCAGAUGUGAAAUCCCCGGGCUUAACCUGGGAACUGCAUCUGAUACUGUCAGGCUAGAGUAGGUGAGAGGAAGGUAGAAUUCCAGGUGUAGCGGUGAAAUGCGUAGAGAUCUGGAGGAAUACCGAUGGCGAAGGCAGCCUUCUGGCAUCAUACUGACACUGAGGCUCGAAAGCGUGGGUAGCAAACAGGAUUAGAUACCCUGGUAGUCCACGCCGUAAACGAUGUCUACUAGUCGUUGGGUCCCUUGAGGACUUAGUGACGCAGCUAACGCAAUAAGUAGACCGCCUGGGGAGUACGGCCGCAAGGUUAAAACUCAAAUGAAUUGACGGGGGCCCGCACAAGCGGUGGAGCAUGUGGUUUAAUUCGAUGCAACGCGAAGAACCUUACCUGGUCUUGACAUAUCUAGAAUCCUGCAGAGAUGCGGGAGUGCCUUCGGGAAUUAGAAUACAGGUGCUGCAUGGCUGUCGUCAGCUCGUGUCGUGAGAUGUUGGGUUAAGUCCCGCAACGAGCGCAACCCUUGUCCUUAGUUACCAGCGGGUUAAGCCGGGAACUCUAAGGAUACUGCCAGUGACAAACUGGAGGAAGGCGGGGACGACGUCAAGUCAUCAUGGCCCUUACGACCAGGGCUACACACGUGCUACAAUGGUAGGUACAGAGGGCAGCUACACAGCGAUGUGAUGCGAAUCUCAAAAAGCCUAUCGUAGUCCAGAUUGGAGUCUGCAACUCGACUCCAUGAAGUAGGAAUCGCUAGUAAUCGCGGAUCAGAAAGCCG
rnacentral:rRNA from 1 species